UCCAGAUUUACAUGACGCUGAUAAUGACGCCAUUGUGUCUGCCUGUAAGACAUAUCACCAGACAGCACGCAGGAGCUUCAGCUAGAAACAACCAGAUGUGGCAUCGCAGGCAGAAGCUGUGAAGAGUUCAGCUCGGAGUCGGUCGAGAAGAAAAGAGGCUGCUGGAAGCGAGACAGUGCUGGCUGCGGGUGAGGUGACAUUUGUUAGUGCGCUACAUAGACCUACAGGACAACGCACCACAGACGUCUGCUAAAUGGACCGAAUCAGACCGAAUGCUGCCGGUUACCAACAGCUCCG